GGUGGGUGAGGCGCAACUCUUGGGUGUCCUAUGGCAUAUUCUGUGCAUGUAUUAUUUAUUCCAAUAAAAUAUUACAACAAAACAAUACAAACAGAUUUUACUCAAACAUGACAAACAUAAAGCAUUUGGAAUAAAUCAUUAAUGAAUCAUGUUUUAAUGGGACAUUAUGUAUGGAAUUUUAAAUUCUACAUUUUGUUUUAAGCAGCAUCAUAGUUAGGAUUGUCAUCACCGUGGUGGCAGAGUCUAAAGAUCAGAUACAUCCGUCUCAGCACAUUUAAAAUUAAGCUGAUAACGGUAAAAUUAUCUCAGCUGUGUCUGCACUAUCUGCUGAUGACAUCUAAUAUUUAUAAGAUAAUGAAACAUUCAUGAAAAAUAUGCUUACAGCAUUACCAUAUGACUGACCGAAGGCUCGAGUUUAAUUUAACCAGUCUGACAAAAAUCUCACAUCCCUUUUUGGGCCUGUAAAUUUACUAUGAAUGUGAACUAUAGCUCGUUUUAGUGUGUAUGAACUGAAGACAGAACUAGCUGUCGUGAAGUGUGAACUUGCACAGCACUGUGUGUUCCAGAUUAAUAUGUUAACAUAAUACACUGUACAGUCCAUGCUGGUGGCUCUGAGAGGCUGUGGGCCUACUUACAGGGACAGCGAUGCUUUCAGCUAAAUCUAAAUGUUAGCAUGCUAACUUACUUAAAUGUUGGUAUGCUAACUCACAGUGAGGAUGUUAAUAAGCUAAUAUUUAAAAGGCGGACAUUUGCAGUGUUCACCUUCUGUGUUUAGCAUGUUACAAAGCAGGAAAUGUGAUUUUACAAACUUGUUUCGAACAAAUGUUUUAGACAAAUUUAAAAUUGUCUAAACCUGAAGGUAACCCUGAAGGAAAAGUCAGAGGAUCAAUAAACAAGUUAGGCUGUGUCUGGGGACCACACAAAACAUAAAACAGCAAAAAGAAAAUAGAAAAUACUGUAAUAAUAAUAAUAAUGGUACUUGUAAAGGUCUGAAGUUAUCAGAUAACAAUGAUCUUUUAGGGACCACUUGUAAAAAAAAAAAAAUUA